rnacentral:tRNA from 1 species
UUAAAAGUAUCAUAUGUUUUAAUGUACUAUAAUUACAAUAUAGUUAAGUGUUAUUUUAAGCACCUUUUAGU